rnacentral:rRNA from 1 species
UACGUAGGGGGCAAGCGUUGUCCGGAUUUAUUGGGCGUAAAGAGCGUGUAGGCGGCUGGGUAGGUCCGUUGUGAAAACUCGAGGCUCAACCUCGAGACGCCGAUGGAAACCCUCCAGCUAGAGUCCGGAAGAGGAGAGUGGAAUUCCCGGUGUAGUGGUGGAAUGCGUAGAGAUCGGGAGGAACACCCGUGGCGAAGGCGAUGGCCUGGACCUCGAGCUGACGCUGAGGCGCGAAAGCGUGGGGAGCGAUCCGG